rnacentral:lncRNA from 1 species
GUACUUUUUUGAUAAUACAUUGUUGAAGUACGACAAAGCAGUUUUAGAAAAGCUAUGAUCCAUUAUAUCCAUUUGUUCUCCAAAAACAGCAUCCUGCUCCUUUUAUCAUGCAUCUAUAACAUGUCCAAGCAUAGCAUUCACUUGACCAGUCCACAUAACGAAUGGUCUUUCAACUCUUCAUAUUUUGGUGCUUUAAGGUAUUUUGCAGUCCUCAAAUUGUUUUCCUUCAACUAUUUCUCCUUUUUACUUAAAAUGUCACCAACUCCUGAUGACUUUAUUGAGCAUGAGAAAAAUGAUUGGUAAUGGUAAUUGCUGACUCUGAUUAGAAUUGCUUUCCUGAAAGUUGUAAAUUUCUUAUAUUUCCUUCAUGGAAAUCCUGCCUUCUUCCUAAUUGCCAUGGCUAACUCUCGGGCACUCUUCCAGAAUUGAUUGAUCCUAGUUGAUGGAACUUGGUUGUCUUGAUCAACCUAAUCCCUUUCUGAAAGUAGAUUGAUGCUAUACCUUUAGAUUUCAAAUUGCCACUGGGUAAAAAUUAGUUUAUAACUAGAUAUACUGUAUAUUACUAAAUGUUAAAAUAACUACGUCUAAAAAUGCACUACGGGCAAG